UAAGUCAUACAUUUCCAAGGCCAUUCAUGUCAAGUUUCAAUCCAUUUACAAGUCAUAUUCCAUUCAAAUUACAAGUCAUGUUCAUUUAUUCCAUUUCAAUCCAAAUCCAAGCAUAUUCAUGGACAAGAUUCAAUUUCAAAACCUUUCAAACUCAUUCAAAUAACCAUUUACAAUCCAUUACAUUGUCCAUUCCAUGAGAAAAAAAUACAAAAAAUGAACUUUGACCAAAUGUUGACUUUGGUCAAUAUUUGACUUUUUGCUCAACUUUGACCAAAGUCAACUUAAUCAUUUUACAACCCAAAGUCCUAAAUCCUAUUCAUAACCUCCCAAAUUCCUACUUGAUAUUUUCCAUUUGUUAUGGAUAUUUCAAAUUUCAAACUUGAUGUCUUUCAUCUUUGCCGGCCUUGUACAUAAUUCACCUCAUGUGUGCACGACCAUGUGCUGCCAAACCAUGCCAUAGGUAGAUAAUAAGGGAAGCCCCGCCAGCAUUAAAUUCAAAAUCAGAUCAGAAUCAAAUAUAUGCUACAACAAUGCAUGUGACCUAGCUGCAAUGCAAACCUAAACCAGAAUUGAACUUAUGCAAACCAUGCCAAAAUGCAGAACUUAGCAAAACAAGGCAAGGCAUGAAAUGCAAUCACAAUGCAUGUGACCUAGCUGCAAUGCAAACCUAAACCAGAAUUGAACUUAUGCAAACCAUGCCAAAAUGCAGAACUUAGCAAAACAAGGCAAGGCAUGAGAUGCAAUCACAAGUCAUGACCUGAUUCAUACUUGUAAACAAGCCAAUGGACCAUGAGGUCGUUCUGCAGAAACCAUCCAAACAUUGGCCAAUUUUUAACCAUAAACCAAGACCUACCACUUCAUUACCAACAAACCUGCAUUACAAAGUCAUAAUACACAUUCUACACUAUAAAACACAAAGGAAAAAAAACCAUGAAACACCUACAAUGCAUCAGGGUCAAAUUCAGCCAACACAAUCUGAACUUAACCAUUCACUAAACCACAUUACUGGACAAAACCUAACAUUCACAAAAUUUAACUCAGAAAAACAUAACUAACUUAGCCUAAGGGAUCUGCAAAACAAAAUAACUAAUCCAGAACUACCCUAACAGAAUUCGCAACUACCUCACAAUUCCCUCCUAACAAAACUGUCAGAACAUAAUGAACCAUUGGGAACUUCAAUUAUGAACCUCCUCUUCAUUCAACAAACCCCUUAUAAUUCCAAAAAUUCCCUCCAACUUCCUCCACCACCCGAACUUCAUCAUAAUAGAACCCAAAAACUUCACUCUGCAACACCCUCCACAACCACUGAGAAUGAUCUUCAUCUUCAUCACUCACCCUCAACCUUCAUAACUUCAACUUCUUCACACUCGAACGUCUAGAACUUCGAAUGUUCAACAAUUCCUAACCAACUACAACCACUCCCUUAACCAAUUUCAGAAACCUGCAAAAAACGAAAAUUCAAGAACACCCUCACUCACCAUCAGCUUCACUCUUCAGCCGAAACACAACCUUUAACCCUCCACCUUUCAACGAUAACACUCAGAGAAGAAGAACAAGAAAAACUAAAAAAGAAGAGAAAAGGUAAGAAGCGAAGGAAAACGGAAGCGCAUAAACAAAGGGGAGCGAUUACCCGGAGCUUGCGCAGAAUCUGGUAUGUCGUUCGUACGUGAGGAUUCGCUGAAGGUCGUGUGUUUAGAUCCAUGAAUAUCCUUAGCAAGUUCUGAAGGUUCAUGUUGGUAUUGAACCCGGGUUGGAAAGAUGAGAGAAUUGGGCUUUCAUACGUCCCAAGAGCUUCAUGUCCCAAGCAAACCAUGGCUUCAAACACCCCUCAAUGUUUAUGCACCCCAGACCCAUGUUCAUAUUAACC
rnacentral:lncRNA from 1 species